AUGGCCCGCCAUGAGAGCACCGGCCCCUGGGGCCUAGACCUGUUCGAGGCCAUCGCCAUCUUCGUCGCCGGGAUCGGCAUGGCCGCGCUGGCCGUAGACGGCUACCGGAGGAACCCCAGCGUCGUCAUCAUCCUCCUAGGUGGUGCCCCCACCAUCGUAUUCUUCGCGAUCGCUGCACGCGUGUGCACAGCUGCCCUUCGCAAAAGGAGAGACGCCGAGGGUGCCGGCGGCGACGACGGUGGCGACGUGGAAAGGGGAUUGAAUACCGUUGCCGGCCGUCAGCGCGAGCCCGUCGUCAGCCGUUUGCCGCCAAGCGCGCUUGCCCAACUCCACGCCAUGUACGCGGAACGGGCACGCUCAGCUCAGGGCACCGAUGACCUUGAGGAAUGCGUUGUCUGCCUCGGCGAAGUGGGGAAAGGAGAGGAAACGAGGCGGCUGCCGGUGUGCCGGCACGUGUUCCACAGGCAAUGCGUCGAGCGGUGGCUGAUGGAGCGCUCGACGUGCCCGGUAUGCCGGCGCAUCGUGCUCCGCGAGUCCCCGAACACAUGA
rnacentral:rRNA from 1 species